UACGGAGGGUGCAAGCAUUGAUCGGAAUUACUGGGCGUAAAGGGCGCGUAGGCGGCCCGAGAAGUCAGAUGUGAAAUUCCGGGGCUCAACCCCGGAGCUGCAUUUGAAACUUUCGGGCUAGAGGAUGGUAAGGGAAAACGGAAUUCCACGUGUAGCGGUGAAAUGCGUAGAUAUGUGGAAGAACACCGGUGGUGAAGACGGUUUUCUGUGCCAAACCAGACGCUGAGGCGCGAAAGCUAGGGGAGCAAACAGG
rnacentral:rRNA from 1 species